rnacentral:lncRNA from 1 species
AAACUCCAUACAUAAUUUGCAGCAAUGGACAACCAUCACAUAAUGCUGAAAAUCUCUCGACUUUUCCCUUCCUCCUUCACCUCUUGCCAAUUCAGAAACGUAGCCGACGUGGCGGAAUCCUCCAUUCCCGCCGCCAAACACCCCUCUCUCUCCCCUCCCAGCAAAGCCCCCACCACCCCCCACGCGCCGCCGUCAGCUCCACCUCCAACGGCGGCAGCUGGUUCACCGCCAGCGACACCGAGACCUUCCCCAGCCUCUCCUCCAACUCCGGCGACUCCUUCCACCUCCGCGCCGCCAGCGCGCGCUUCAAGCAGAUGAAGAGCAUCGACGAGGCUCAGGCCCCCCGCUCCUCCCUCUCCUCCUCCUGCUCCGCCGCCGCCAAAUGCCGCCGCCGCGCCGCCGGAAAGAGGCCGGCCGAAGCCAUCCCGCGCCACCAGAUGCACGAGAUGGGCACCGACGACCACGUCUCGACGCGGCUUUACUACGGCGGCGGGGGCGGGGGCGGGGGAGGGUGCCGGCGGCGGAGGCGGCGGAGGAUCAAGAAGAGCGGCGGAGGAGGAGGCGGAGAGGAGGUGGUGAUGGGGGGGAGCUACGCGGUGGAGAAGAGCUCGAGGGAUCCCCGCGGCGACUUCAGGGCGUCGAUGGUGGAGAUGAUCGUGGAGAAGCAGAUGUUCGCGGCGGCGGAUUUGGAGCGGCUGCUGCGGUGCUUCUUGUCGCUGAAUUCGGCGGCGUAUCACGCCGUCAUUUUCGAUGUCUUUUCCGAGAUUUGUCAAACGUUGUUUACUAAUUGAUUCAAUCUUUGUUUAAGCUUUGGUUUUGCUCUGUACAUUAUUAUUUUUUUUUUUUUUGGUUUAAGGUUUGUAGCUAGUUGCUGAAUUAGGUUUUUAUUAAUAUAAUAAUAUCUCAUUUAAAUUAGAUUGUUUGCAAUUUUAUCUCAGUACUCGAUCAGUAGUCUUUUUUUGAGUAAUAACUACUCCAUAACUAUAUAUGUGCAUGGUACUAAUUUCUUUAGGGAAAAUUUAAUAGUCUUUAAAAAUAUAAGAUCGUGGAGGAAAAUUUUAGGGUAAUUCAAUCUUUUAUUUAAUAUCCAUUCGUCACGAAAAAAAUCACAUAUUAUGCUGGACGUGAGUUUUAAUAAAAUUGUUAAAAUUGUUAUAAGUGAAAAUAAAUGUACAAUUUAUAAAGGUAAUGUUAUAAAGAAAAUGGAAUAAAAGUACUACAUUAUUACGUAAAAAUUAGAAUAAAUGUACAAUUUAUAGAUAAAUAUAAGAGAGAAUCUAGGAUGUAAUAGUUUAAAAGUGUAGCAAACUCUUUUCUAAAAUAAAUAAUAUUUUCAUCAAAAAUACCCUGAAACUUUCGAAAUGCUCUCAAAACCCUCAAAGUAUCAGGAUUUUAUCAAAUAUAUCCUGCAUCUCUUUUCCGGUCACCAGAAAUAUGACGUGGCUCGCCGGAUGCCACAGUGUAAUUUAAAUUCUAUUUUUUUAAAUCCAUGUCAUUUUUUUAUUCUCUUUUCUUAAUCCAUGUCAUUCUUUUAUAUUCUCUUUUAUUCUAAUCAAUCGAAAUCGCGAAACGGUAGCAGCCCCACGCGGGGUUUCAGGGGGCGGCGACCUCGACUCCGGGCGAAGCAGCAGCAGAUCCGGGCGGCGGCGUUGCUUCAGCAGCGGCGACCUCGACUCCGGGCGAAGCAGCAGCAGAUCCGGGCGGCGGCGUUGCUUCAGCAGCGGCGACCUCGACUCCGGGCGAAGCAGCAGCAGAUCCGGGCGGCGGCGUUGCUUCAGCAGCGGCGACCUCGACUCCGGGCGAAGCAGCAGCAGAUCCGGGCGGCGGCGUUGCUUCAGCAACGGCGACGUCGNAAUUAAAAAAUACUUAGUAUGUCAUAAAAUAUUGAUUUUUUACUUUUUUUUAAAGUUUAUAGAAUCCACUUGAAAAUACAUAAUCAAACAUUAACUAUAUUAUCAUUAUGUCAAGACACGCUUACACUAUACUACAACUCACGCAUAUACACUCGAACCUUCAAUCUACAAAUUAGAAGAGAAAUAUCUUACCAACUGAACUGUAAUUUCACCGCGGGCAGAAUAUAAGAUUUUUAUAGAUCACCAAUAGGCUCCCCUCUUGCAUUUGAAUUAACUUGUCCAAUGAUACAUCAUCAUCUCUCAAGCUUAGUACGACAAAAAAAUGAAUAGUGGGAUUUUUCCCAAAUCAAAAAUUAGAAUAUUCAACACCUCACCUAUCUAUACUCGUGUUACCUAAGGCAACUCUCUCUCUCUCUCUCUCUCCUAUAUAAAACCGAAGCCCAUCCAAAUAAUUUCGAAACUCCAUACAUAAUUUGCAGCAAUGGACAACCAUCACAUAAUGCUGAAAAUCUCUCGACUUUUCCCUUCCUCCUUCACCUCUUGCCAAUUCAGAAACGUAGCCGACGUGGCGGAAUCCUCCAUUCCCGCCGCCAAACACCCCUCUCUCACCCCUCCCAGCAAAGCCCCCCACCACCCCCCACGCGCCGCCGUCAGCUCCACCUCCAACGGCGGCAGCUGGUUCACCGCCAGCGACACCGAGACCUUCCCCAGCCUCUCCUCCAACUCCGGCGACUCCUUCCACCUCCGCGCCGCCAGCGCGCGCUUCAAGCAGAUGAAGAGCAUCGACGAGGCUCAGGCCCCCCGCUCCUCCCUCUCCUCCUCCUGCUCCGCCGCCGCCAAAUGCCGCCGCCGCGCCGCCGGAAAGAGGCCGUCCGAAGCCAUCCCGCGCCACCAGAUGCACGAGAUGGGCACCGACGACCACGUCUCGACGCGGCUUUAC